rnacentral:rRNA from 1 species
GACGAACGCUGGCGGCGUGCUUAACACAUGCAAGUCGAACGGAAAGGCCCCCAUCUUGGUGGGGGUGCUCGAGUGGCGAACGGGUGAGUAACACGUGGGUGAUCUGCCCUGUACUUCGGGAUAAGCUUGGGAAACUGGGUCUAAUACCGGAUAGGACCAUGGUUUAGUGUCUCAUGGUGGAAAGAUUUUUGUUUUGGUGCAGGAUGAGCUCGCGGCCUAUCAGCUUGUUGGUGGGGUAAUGGCCUACCAAGGCGUCGACGGGUAGCCGGCCUGAGAGGGUGGACGGCCACAGUGGGACUGAGAUACGGCCCAGACUCCUACGGGAGGCAGCAGUGGGGAAUAUUGCGCAAUGGGCGCAAGCCUGAUGCAGCGACGCCGCGUGGGGGAUGACGGCCUUCGGGUUGUAAACUCCUUUCGUUAGGGACGAAGCCGCACUUUUUUUGGGUGUGGUGACGGUACCUUUGUUAAGAAGCACCGGCUAACUACGUG